UGAGUCUUUAUAUAUAUUAUGAUUACUAUCCUUAUUAUUUUUAAAUACAUAUUUGUUUUUAACAUAAUUAAUCUACCUCGCAAUUGGUGGGCAAGUGCCUUCCAAAAAGACUACAAUAACAGAUAUACAUAUGGAAAAAUAAAAAAAAAAAGGAAAAGAAUGUGGCAACAUGUUUCAGCGGUCCUCAAUUUGAUCUGGACGAACCAUAGUGUAUGCAGUGAAAUGCUACAUGCACUGCGUGAUUCUUAACGCCAACCAUAACUGUUGAUCGACUAUCGGUCCAUGUGUUGCAAGCACUGAUUACAAUUUGUGGUCUGGCCGGUGGAACUACAAUAACAAGUGGUGCAAUGUGCUGGGGACUUCAACUUUUAAUAUUAUUAUUAUUUAUUUAUUAUUAUUUAUUUAAUAUUAUUUAAUUAAUUUACAGUCAACUAGUCCCAUUAUUAUUGAAAUGGUGCUCAUCAUACAUGUGUAUGUAUGUAAAUAUUAUUAA
rnacentral:lncRNA from 1 species